AGCUUGGCCUCUGCGGGCGUGCAAGGUGCAGGCCACUUUGCCGGGCGCCCUCCUCCACGUUCAGCCAGUGGUGUUUUAGGAGUGAGGACCCACGGACAAAGUGUUAGGUGCAGGACAGGCUGAGUAAGUUGUCUGCAGGGCAUGCCAAACAAAGUUAGCUGCAGGAUGACCUGGCCACUCAAACCCUCUGUCUGGUUCUGUAUCACCUGUUUGCUUCAAGCCCAAACGCCCAAGCCCCCUCUCAAGGCUGAGCGCUUCGCCCCCCUGCUCAAAGCUGAACACUCAACCCCCUGCUCAAGGCCGAGCACUUAACCCCCUUGUGUGCCAACAAGGCAGCUUGCAGACCCAGAGACCCCAUUAGAUUUGGGCUAUAAAAACUCCCUCCUGCCGGGCCCCUCUCUCUCUUCUCUUGCUCUGUCUCCUUUGCACGUGUGCGCUCUCUCUCUCUCUUUCUCUUCCUCUCUCUUCUCUGUUGCACUGCUGCAAUAAAGAUCUCUUGGUUGCUCUGAGUGUUGUGGUCACUUUUCUUUCACAAAGCACUGGCCACAGCUUGGGCACUCAUAGGGCCACUCGCCCCUAUGGAUGUGGCGGUGCUCACUGAGGGUGAAGUGGCCGCAGAAGGCCUUCUUUCAGUGUGGAACUUCUGGUGCUACCGCACUGGAAGGACUGGUCCCUCUCGCACACACGGCAGUGGGCCUCCAGCUGCGCGCUCUGUGGAAGGACUUCCUGCACUCGCUGCACUGGAAACGCUUCUCCUCCAUGUGGAUCUGCUGGUGGCGCAGCAGGAUGGAGCUCUGCUUGAAGGCCUUGCCACACUCGCGCUCCCUGCACUGGUACAGCCUCCCCCACCCCCCCAGCAGCGAGUUGUAUCUGAACACCUUGCCGCAGGCGCACCUGUAGCCUCCCUGCAUCCUGGCAGGGCUCCUGGAAGGCCUGCCAACAUGCACUUCCUGCAGGGAC
rnacentral:lncRNA from 1 species